rnacentral:rRNA from 1 species
GACGAACGCUGGCGGCGUGCCUAAUACAUGCAAGUUGAGCGAUGAAGAUUGGUGCUUGCACCAAUUUGAAGAGCAGCGAACGGGUGAGUAACGCGUGGGGAAUCUGCCUUUGAGCGGGGGACAACAUUUGGAAACGAAUGCUAAUACCGCAUAACAACUUUAAACAUAAGUUUUAAGUUUGAAAGAUGCAAUUGCAUCACUCAAAGAUGAUCCCGCGUUGUAUUAGCUAGUUGGUGAGGUAAAGGCUCACCAAGGCGAUGAUACAUAGCCGACCUGAGAGGGUGAUCGGCCACAUUGGGACUGAGACACGGCCCAAACGCCUACGGGAGGCAGCAGUAGGGAAUCUUCGGCAAUGGACGAAAGUCUGGCCGAGCAACGCCGCGUGAGUGAAGAAGGUUUUCGGAUCGUAAAACUCUGUUGGUAGAGAAGAACGUUGGUGAGAGUGGAAAGCUCAUCAAGUGACGGUAACUACCCAGAAAGGGACGGCUAACUACGUG